rnacentral:lncRNA from 1 species
UGAAAGUCAGGUCGGAUUAAGCCAUAGUACGGAAAAAACUAUGCUACCUGUGAGCCCCGUCCAAGGACGUAAAAAGAAGUCAGGCCAUCACAAAUGCCACAGCUUGAGCAAACUGUGCAGCCUGUAGCUCCACCUG